rnacentral:rRNA from 1 species
CUGCGACAGAUUCCUUCGGGAUGAAGUUGCUUUAACCUAGCGGCGGACGGGUGAGUAACGCGUGGGCAACCUACCCUAAAGUCUGGGAUAACAGCGGGAAACUGCUGCUAAUACCGGAUAGCUUUAACCGGGGGCAUCUUCGGUUAAAGAAAGAAGCGAUUCGCUUUAGGAUGGGCCCGCGUCCCAUUAGCUGGUUGGUGAGGUAACGGCUCACCAAGGCGACGAUGGGUAGCCGGCCUGAGAGGGUGAACGGCCACACUGGGACUGAGACACGGCCCAGACUCCUACGGGAGGCAGCAGUAGGGAAUAUUGCGCAAUGGAGGGAACUCUGACGCAGCGACGCCGCGUGAGCGAUGAAGGUCUUCGGAUCGUAAAGCUCUGUCCUUGGGGAAGAAGGGAGCCGUAAGGCUUCUUGACGGUACCCAUGGAGGAAGCCCCGGCUAACUACGUGCCAGCAGCCGCGGUAAUACGUAGGGGGCAAGCGUUGUCCGGAAUUAUUGGGCGUAAAGGGUGCGUAGGCGGCCCUUUAAGUCAGAUGUGAAAGCCCACGGCUUAACCGUGGGACUGCAUUUGAAA